UAGUGGAGUGAUUUGUCUUCUUAAUUGCGAUAACGGACGAGACUCGCGCAACUUGCUGGUUUUAUUGUAUCUCGCGAUACUUUGAACCUCCUCGUUGGACAACUCUUGAUAAAAGAGAGGAAGUGGCGAGCAAUAACA
rnacentral:rRNA from 1 species